rfam:Myotis brandtii contig205716, whole genome shotgun sequence.
GGCAGUUCUUGGGUUAUGCACCCUGGAAUCUGGUUCCCUCCUUUCUGGUUCUGGGUGCAUCACCUGAGAACUACA